UGCCAGCAGCCGCGGUAAUACGUAUGGUGCAAACGUUGUUCGGAAUCACUGGGCCUAAAGAGCGCGUAGGCGGCUUGGUAAGUUAGGUGUGAAAUCCCUCGGCUCAACCGGGGAACUGCACCUAAUACUGCCUAGCUAGAGUGCAGGAGGGGAGAGUGGAAUUCCUGGUGGAGCGGUGAAAUGCGUAGAUAUCAGGAGGAACGCCGGUGGCGAAAGCGACUCUCUGGACUGCUACUGACGCUGAGGCGCGAAAGCUAGGGGAGCAAACGGGAUUAGAUA
rnacentral:rRNA from 1 species